rnacentral:rRNA from 1 species
AUGGCGGAGGCGACGCUGGAGGGGAGCGAGCCGGUGGAUCUGUCCAAGCACCCCUCCGGCAUCAUCCCCACACUCCAGAAUAUCGUGUCAACAGUCAAUUUGGACUGUAAGUUAGACCUCAAAGCAAUAGCUCUGCAAGCACGUAACGCGGAAUAUAAUCCAAAGCGUUUUGCUGCAGUUAUCAUGAGAAUAAGAGAACCAAAAACUACAGCACUGAUAUUUGCGUCAGGUAUGUACUGGAGCAAAGAGCGAACAGCAGUCCAAGCUUGCAGCAAGAAAGGUAUGCCAUUGUUUGCUUCGAUUAUUUGGUCUAUGCUGGCUGAGAGGUUUCUGAAGUCUAACACACAAUGUUGUUCCCAGUAUGCUCGUAUUAUUCAGAAACUUGGCUUUCCAGCUAAAUUCAAGGACUUCAAAAUUCAGAAUAUCGUUGGCUCUUGUGAUGUCAAAUUUCCAAUUAGACUGGAGGGCCUUGCAUAUUCUCAUGGUGCUUUCUCAAGUUAUGAGCCAGAACUUUUUCCUGGUCUAAUCUAUCGAAUGAAGCAACCGAAGAUUGUUCUUCUGAUUUUUGUUUCAGGCAAGAUUGUCUUGACGGGGGCAAAGGUGAGAGAAGAGACAUACACCGCCUUUGAAAACAUAUAUCCUGUACUCACAGAGUUCAGAAAAGUUCAGCAAUGA